UUGAGGGCUCCGGAGUGCUCUUCAAAACCAUCUUCCUGCCCUUUUCGGCAGACAGCAGCAUCUCAGGGAUGCCUUUGCCUCCCAGAGGGGCCGGAGGUGGGCAGGGAACAGAAACCUCAAAGAGUCCUGCAGCUCUCUCAGCGAGAAGCCGCCACAGCCCUUCUCGAGGCGUGCGCCCGAAAUGCACUUCUUCUAGCUGGAGGAACGUCUGACGAUGGGAACGUUGAUCUUAAUCAUGCCAGGUGAAAAGCUUGAGGAGCCGUGCGCACAGCAGGUGAAAUGAUCAUCAAAGAAUGGGCUGCGGCAGGCUGGACGGUAACGAAG
ensembl:lncRNA novel transcript